GAGAGUUGACAGUAGGGGUGGGCAUUAGAACCGCAAAACGGCAAAACCGAAUCAAACCAAACCGAAAAAAAUUCGAAAAAAAUUGUGUUGACUAAAAAAGUCAAAAACCGAGUCAAAUUCGGACCGGUUCAGACCGGUUUCGGUUUCGGUUUUCUACUACAAGGAACCGGUCCAAUAUAAUUAAUUAAUAUAUAUUUUUAUAUUAUAUAUAUUUAUAUUUUACAUUUUAUAUAUAUAGUUAACAUGUGGCUGCUUUGUAU
rnacentral:lncRNA from 1 species